AAACUCACAGUAACAGAAAUAGCUCUUGAAAGCUCUGUCAGAUCCCGGCACUUUUAACUGUUUUUUGACACGUGCUAAAAAAUGCAGCACCUGGUUACAAGGGCUUAUUUGACAAAUUAUCAUCUUUCGUAAUCUAAGUUAUAAAAUCUAAAUUUUAAGUGAUCUAAAAUGUUCAUGACUAACGAGUAUUUUCACUUGUACGAUUUUUCUGUGAAAUGAGUCUAAGAGUAUAUACAUGUAUAUCAGGAUACUGACUGCAUAGUAAAAUAUUUAUGUACCAUUAGUUGCGACUCAUUUUGGUCUUUUAAGUAAGUUUCCUUCCCCUGCAUUACUUGAUCGCUUUUGUAAAAAAUAAACAGCACAACUCGCACAACAACAACAGCACUCGACGUCAGUAUUGUACCAUAAAAAUGAAAAAAAUAUUCAAAAAGAAGGCUCAUAAAAUUCAAAUAUUGGACAAGAACUAUAGAAGAUGCAGAGAAAUUAUAAACAGCAGAAAUGAUAGGCAAUUUAAAAUUUGCAGAAGUCAACAAAACCUAAAUGGUGAUCAGACAUCUUGGUUUUCAUGAUCAAUAGGUCAAUACUGAAGAGGAAACUGAAAUUUGAUAUCUAUCUACAUGGUGCGCUAAUUGGAUUAAUGUGAAAUGGAAUGUGUGCUUUCCUGCAAAAAAGAAAUAGGAAAUUUCAUCAUAAUCACAUGAUAAUGGCUAUAAACAAAAUGGAGUUCUAUCAUAGAAGCAGAAAAACACAAUUGUAUAAAUGCAACAACAUAUUAUAUAUAUUCGUUGAAAGAAGGGAGAAAUGAAGAAAAAAAUAGUAUUUUGUUGUUGAAAGGAACACCAGCUUUAUCCACUCAUUUACAUCGCUCCCUCAUAUCAAAUAUACUGAAGAAGAUCUUCGAAGAACAAAUUGCAAAAAUGUUUUCUCUAAGAAUUGAAGGAAAUUGUUUAGUGAAUGGAAUAAUUUAUGUUAUGAACUUUUACGUAGUGAAUUGAAUAACUGUACACAGCAGCUGAAACAGAGGAAAAUUAAAAUUUACAAGAAAAGUGUUUAUUUUAUUAUUUAAUUUGCAAAUAUGAACGCAUUCUUAAGAACUCCACAAAUGGUAUGACAUUCAAAUUGGUUGCUUAUUAAUGUAUACAAUUGAAACAAUAACAAAGAAAACAGAAUACUUUGCUUCAAAAAAUAUUUUAAAAAUCAAAGUUAAAGUCAUAUAAAGUAUGUACAAUACCUUGACCUAAACAGUCAGACUCACUAUAUUGUUUUUGUAUGUCAUGAUAAUUUUGAGUCAUAAAUUUAUUAAAGUUUAAAUAUCAUUUGUAUCAUUUAUUAAGUCUUGUAAACAUUAUGUUCAUACUGUUUGUAUAGUGAAGAAAUUUACAAUGAGUAAAAAUAGGGGAAAGCAUUUCCUACAGGGAAAGUUGAUGUACAGAAAUUUCCUUAGAGGAAAUUUGGAGAACAAUGUUUUCCUUAGAGGAAAUUUGUGGUAUUGAAUUUUCCCUCAAGGAAAAGUGUUUGUUAAAUAUUUCCUCAAAGGAAAUUGCAGUUGACAAAAUUUCCUCACAGGAAAAAGUAUUUCCUCCAAGGAAAAUUUGAAGCUGCAAAUUUCCUCAGAGGAAAAUUCGAAGCCUCAAAUUUCCUCAGAGGAAAUAAAAUUUCCUCAAAGGAAAAUUUGAAGCCGCAAAUUUCCUCACAGGAAAUAGAAUUUCCUCAAAGGAAAUAUUAAUGCAGCAAAUUCCCUAAGGGAAAUCUUUUUCCCUUGAGGAAAAUACAAUUUCCCUUAAGGAAAAAUCUUUUUCCUUUAGGGAAAUUUGAUUUCCCUUGAGGAAAACUACUUUUCCUCUGAGGAAAUUGUUGAAAAAAGGGGCAUAACUUUUUCAACAGUGGUGCUAGAGCCAAAAUUUUUUAGGACAAAUAUCAGGGAACCAAUACCAACCAAGUUAUCAACUUCAUUUUGACUUAACUCCAAAAAUUAAGGUGACAACUUUUGCACUCAGCGGAAGUGCAAACUUGUCCCGGAGACU